rnacentral:rRNA from 1 species
ACGAACGCUGGCGGCGUGCUUAACCCAUGCAAGUCGAACGGAAAGGCCCUGCUUGCAGGGUACUCGAGUGGCGAACGGGUGAGUAACACGUGGGUGAUCUGCCCUGCACUUCGGGAUAAGCCUGGGAAACUGGGUCUAAUACCGGAUAGGAGCCAUUUUUAGUGUGAUGGUUGGAAAGUUUUUUCGGUGUAGGAUGAGCUCGCGGCCUAUCAGCUUGUUGGUGGGGUAAUGGCCUACCAAGGCGGCGACGGGUAGCCGGCCUGAGAGGGUGGACGGCCACAUUGGGACUGAGAUACGGCCCAGACGCCUACGGGAGGCAGCAGUGGGGAAUAUUGCACAAUGGGCGCAAGCCUGAUGCAGCGACGCCGCGUGGGGGAUGACGGCCUUCGGGUUGAAAACUCCUUUCGCUAGGGACGAAGCUUUUUGUGACGGUACCUAGAGAAGAAGCACCGGCUAACUACGUG